rnacentral:rRNA from 1 species
GAUCCUGGCUCAGAUUGAACGCUGGCGGCAUGCCUUACACAUGCAAGUCGAACGGUAACGCGGGGCAACCUGGCGACGAGUGGCGAACGGGUGAGUAAAGUAUCGGAACGUGCCCAAUAGUGGGGGAUAGCCCGGCGAAAGCCGGAUUAAUACCGCAUGAGACCUGAGGGUGAAAGCGGGGGAUUCGCAAGAGCCUCGCGCUGUUGGAGCGGCCGAUAUCAGAUUAGGUAGUUGGUGGGGUAAAGGCCUACCAAGCCGACGAUCUGUAGCUGGUCUGAGAGGACGACCAGCCACACUGGGACUGAGACACGGCCCAGACUCCUACGGGAGGCAGCAGUGGGGAAUUUUGGACAAUGGGCGCAAGCCUGAUCCAGCCAUGCCGCGUGCGGGAAGAAGGCCUUCGGGUUGUAAACCGCUUUCGUCAGGGAAGAAAUCCUUGAGCUAAUACCUCGGAGGGAUGACGGUACCUGAAGAAUAAGCACCGGCUAACUACGUG